rnacentral:rRNA from 1 species
UACGUAGGGUGCGAGCGUUGUCCGGAAUUAUUGGGCGUAAAGGGCUCGUAGGCGGUCUGUCACGUCAGGAGUGAAAACUCGGGGCUCAACCCCGAGCCUGCUUCUGAUACGGGCAGGACUGGAGGUAUGGCAGGGGAGAACGGAAUUCCUGGUGUAGCGGGUGAAAUGCGCAGAUAUCAAGGAGGAACACCGGUGGCGAAGGCGGUUCUCGUGGGCGAUUACCUGACGCUGAG